rnacentral:lncRNA from 1 species
AAGGAAAGGAUGGUCAUCGCCUUGGCGCUCAGCAUCCCGUAUACAAUCGAUCACCAUAGCGGAGUCUCUUUCCAGGAUGAUAUCACCAGCUCCUAAAAUAAUCUUCGCAUAAAUGAUGCCCUUCCAUGUCGUCGUGAGCUCCGCUCCUAUGACUAUCGUGUCACAAGUGCAGCGCCCUCUUACAGUAAUAAAUCUGGAGUUGUGAUCAUGGAUCACAAAGCUCGUCCCUUCUCUGUCUCCUUCUGGCGGCAAAGACUUUGAGUAGGGUGGCAGUGAUCCAAUAGGGAAGAGGGAGGUCCCAAGAUCAAAGAAGCAGGGUGGGGGAUGUUGGCAGUUUGGCACGUCAUGCAUGCCCCCAAAAGCUCCUGCCCGAUCUUUACCACCCUUGGAGGUGGCGGCAGCAACGAGGGCCUCGCUGAUGGCAGCACUCACGUCUUCUCUACUCUAGAUUUCGUUGGGGGUAUCGCCGAUUCCUCCUUUUCGUUCUAGAGAUAGAGAUGGCAACCCACCCCCUCGAAGGCUAUGAGAGGAUGACGGCGCUGCGUGGAGGAGGCCGCUCGGAGUAGAAUUUAGGUAUGGAUGGUAUGGGACUCAUAGUGCAAGCAUCAAAGGCAUCCCAUUUGACGGCUUUGCACAUCUCAAAGGCCCUCAAAGGGCAUGGUGGGGACUCUCUUAAUCUCAUGG